UACAGAGGGGGCAAGCGUUAUUCGGAAUUAUUGGGCGUAAAGAGCGUGUAGGCGGUCCGGUAAGUCAGCUGUGAAAGUCAAGGGCUCAACCCUUGAAAGCCGGUUGAUACUGUCGGGCUAGAGUCCGGAAGAGGCGAGUGGAAUUCCCGGUGUAGCGGUGAAAUGCGCAGAUAUCGGGAGGAACACCAGUAGCGAAGGCGGCUCGCUGGGCCGUUCCUGACGCUGAGACGCGAAAGCUAGGGGAGCGAGCAGG
rnacentral:rRNA from 1 species